rfam:Armatimonadetes bacterium CG2_30_66_41 cg2_3.0_scaffold_9602_c, whole genome shotgun sequence.
CCAAAGGCUGUGAAGAGGAGCAGUAAGUCGAGGUGCUUGGACUUCAAGGAGCACCACCGGUAGCCUCAGAGAGUCGGGAUUGCUGCGAACCGAUGCUGCCAGCGACUGAACCUCGCCUCCGAGCCUCCAGGUCGAACCGUGCUGUGCGUACCCAGUAGGCCUGCGACGAUUAACGCUCGUUACCGCGUCCUCAAGUGAGCCGGUCUCGAUCCGCUUCGGCGCGUCCAGCCGGCUAAUAUGGGUGGUACCGCGAGCAUGUCAGCCUCUCGUCCCAUGG